rnacentral:rRNA from 1 species
AGGGAAUAUUGGGCAAUGGACGCAAGUCUGACCCAGCCAUGCCGCGUGCAGGAAUGACGGCCCUAUGGGUUGUAAACUGCUUUUCUGCGGGAAGAACCCCCCGAUCGUGAUCGGGGCUGACGGUACCGCAGGAAUAAGCAUCGGCUAACUCCGUGCCAGCAGCCGCGGCAAUACGGAGGAUGCAAGCGUUAUCCGGAUUUAUUGGGUUUAAAGGGUGCGCAGGCGGAACAUUAAGUCAGUGGUGAAAGCCCCUCGCUCAACGAGGGAACUGCCAUUGAUACUGUUGUUCUUGAGUUCAGUUGAAGUGGGCGGAAUGUGUCGUGUAGCGGUGAAAUGCAUAGAUAUGACACAGAACUCCGAUCGCGAAGGCAGCUCACUAAGCUGAUACUGACGCUCAUGCACGAAAGCGUGGGGAUCAAAC